GGAGGUUCCGGGGAGGUUCCGGGGCGGUGCCGGUGCCGCCAUGGCCGCGGUGCCGGUGCGGGGCCGGCGUGGUGCGCUCGGGCCGGGGGCAGCUGGGGAGCCGGAAUGCGUGAGUUAGGAACGGGGAUGGGAAUCGGGAAUGAGAAUGAGGACCGGGACCGGGAAUGGGGCAGAGGCUCGGGCAGGGCCCGGUGCCGGUCCCGUCGCCGCCCGGGCCGUGUCGCGACUGUCGCGGGUGGUGCCGGCUGGGGAGCGGGCACGGCCGGACCGGGGACUGAGAUCAACAGGCUUCGGGGUUUUGCCUUUUUUUCCCUGUUUUUCCAUAGUUUUCUCUUUCUCGUCUUAUUUCCCCCCCUGGUUUGUUUUUUUGUUUUUUGUUGGGUUUUUUUUUUUUUUGGUUUGGAUUUUUUUGUCUUUUUUCCCUUUUUCUUUUCCUUUUUUCCUUUUGAAUUUCUCGUUUUUCCCUUUCUUCCUUUUCCUUUAUUCCUUUUUAAUUACUCUUUCCCUUUUUUCUUUUUCCUUUUCUCUUUUCACUUAUUUUCCCUUUUUUUUUUUCCCUUCUCACCCAGUUUGGGGUUUUUCCCCCCCUUUUUUUCUACCCCGUAUUUUUUCUUUUCCUUUUUUUCUUCCUCUUUUCCUUUUUUAAUUUUUUUCUUUCUUUCUGCCUGAAACCCUCUUUCCCAGUCAGCCUCACCAAUUCCAUUUAUUGCUGCUCUCCUGGCUCCAAGAUGACAGAGAGGAAUCAGAAUCCCAGCCUGGUUUGGGUUGGAAGGUUGGGUUUUAAGGCAUUUGGACUUAGAGGAAUAUCAGAUUUUCAGUGCCAGAGCUCCCAGUGUGUCCCGGUUUGGAUUGAGCUUCAGGUGGAGUUUCCAGGUGGAUCUGCAUGGAUCUCACAUUCCCUCUGCCUUCCCAGACAGAGCCAUCUUUCCCUGGGGAAAAAAGCAAGGAUCAUCUCCCCAGGGAUGCAGUGGGGCUGAUCCAGGGAGGGCUCUGUGGGACAGGCUGGGUGGAGCCCCAGCCAGGAGACAGCCUGCCUUUAAAAAUGGGCUCUAAAAGCAGAAAUUGCACGACAAGGACGCUUUAAACUUGGAGGAAAUCUUUAAAAUUGAGCCCAAAAUACCCCAACAAACGAGCGGAACUUUUCCUACAGCUCCUCCAGGUUGGUUGUCCCGUGGAGCUGGGCUUGGCCUGAGUUCGCUUUCCUCUCCGAGGUCUUUAUCCCAUCAGUGGGAACGAGUGGGAUUUCCCAGGGCUUCCAGGUGCCAAGAAAGUGAGGGUGGCCUCCCUGCAGGGAGAUGUUCCUGUUCCUGCCUGCUGCUGUGUCCUGCCCAUUCCCAGCUGCUGGGGCAGAGCAUUCCCUGGCACAAGCACACAGUCCCUGCUUGCCUUGGGCAGGGAGCUGCUGGAUCCUGUCAGCCCCAGGCUCCUGCACAGGCAGGGCUGCUGUGGGGCUGCUUCUUCCCCAGGAGAGAAUUCCAGAGGCUGGAGUCUGCCCCGAGCGAGGAGCUCCCCAGGCUGGCAUUGGUGGGAUGAGUUUGUGUCCUCCAGGUGCUGAAUUCCUGCCACCGAGCAAACCCCCCCAGACAAUACCUGGAGUUGAUUUUUAAUCAGCCAAAUUCCUUCUGGUGUGGGCCAUUGAGUCAUUUUUCCCUUUGCCCCCUCAUCUCACACGCAUUCCCAGCUGGCUGCUGCACUUUGCCUUUCCCUGCAAUAAGGGAGGAGUUCUGCAGCAGCAGCAGAGGCAGAGGAUGUUUUCCCAGUGGGAGGCAAUCUCAAGGAUUUAGAGGACCUCCCCAGACUUUUAUUCCAUUCUUCCCUCUCUUACUGCAGUACAUAUUUCACUUUUGGAUUCCUUUCCCAUCCUGCUGUCCUGCCUCCCUUCCUGCUGAUCCCAUCUCAGCCCUUUCCUGCUGAGGUUCCUGGUGCAUUGAUCCAGUUUUGGUUUUCCAUAACUUACUCCAGGUUUAAAUCCCAUUUCUGUGCUCCAGCAGUCUGUUAGUUCUGUGCCAGCACGCCAUCUUCCUGGAGGAAGAGGUGGAAUGUUGGGAUUCCUUAAAGUUUGUUUGGGAAAGAGCAUGCCAAGUGUGUGAGUGGAAUUCAGGCCCUAAAUCCGUGUCAGUUUUGUAAUUCCCUUGCUUGUGUUAAUCUGCUGGGCAGGUUCCAAGGAAUUGGGGUCCCUUUCCGUGGCCAGGGAUGUUCUUCUGGACAUUUCCACUUCUGUGUGGAUUUCCUGUGGUGCUUUCCAUGGAUUUAACCUGCCCAGUGCCAUCGUGCUGCUCAGAGCAGCAUUUCUGGGAGCCCCUGCUCCUGGGAGGGCUCCCUGAGCCCUGGGAGGGCUCCCAGGACAGCCCAGGCACAGCUCAGGAAGGGAGUGCGUGGAGGAGCCCUGGGAAAAGGUGCCACUGUUCAGGGAGGACACAAAUAAAUCCCCUCUCCAAGGGAGUUCCCAUCGCUGGAAUCACUUUUCCUUCUGUUUCUUGGGUUUAAUCACCCCUUCCAUGCAAUUCCUUGGAUCAGCCCCGUGCCAAGUCCUGCUGGAGGGGAGGCUCAGGGAUGCCAUUUGCCAGGGAUUUCAUGGCACUGGGGCACAGAGGGGUGUGACACACAGAAUUCCUGCCAGGCACAGAAUUCCUGCUCUUUAUGGGGCACAGAGGGGUGUGAGGUACAGAAUUCCUGCCAGGUACAGAAUUCCUGCUCUUUAUGGGGCACAGGCUGGUGUGACACACAGAAUUCCUGCCCCAAGGGGCACAGGCUGGUGUGACACACAGAAUUCCUGCUGGGUACAGAAUUCCUGCUGUUUGUGGGGCACAGGGAGGGGUGACCCACAGAAUUCCUGCUCUUUGUGGGGCACAGGGAGGUGUGACCCACAGAAUUCCUGCUCUUUGUGGGGCACAGGGAGGGGUGACCCACCGAAUUCCUGCUCUCCCAGCACGAGGGGCAGUGGGAGCCCCAAACCUUGGGGUGCUGCCCCAGUGCCCGGCUGCUCUCCUGGUGCUGUUCCCGAUGGAUGUGUGGUCCCUGGGAGGCCAGCAGGGAGCCCUGGAGGUGGGGCUGUGCUGGCUCUGAGGUGUCCCUGUCCCCUGGAGGUGGGGCUGUGCUGGCUCUGAGGUGUCCCUGUGCCCUGGAGGUGGGGCUGUGCUGGCUCUGAGGUGUCCCUGUCCCCGGGAGGUGGGGCUGUGCUGGCUCUGAGGUGUCCCUGUGCCCUGGAGGUGGGGCUGUGCUGGCUCUGAGGUGUCCCUGUCCCCUGGAGGUGGGGCUGUGCUGGCUCUGAGGUGUCCCUGUCCCCUGGAGGUGGGGCUGUGCUGGCUCUGAGAUGUCCCUGUCCCCGGGAGGUGGGGCUGUGCUGGCUCUGAGGUGUCCCUGUCCCCGGGAGGUGGGGCUGUGCUGGCUCUGAGAUGUCCCUGUCCCCGGGAGGUGGGGCUGUGCUGGCUCUGAGGUGUCCCUGUCCCCAGGAGGUGGGGCUGUGCUGGCUCUGAGGUGUCCCUGUCCCCGGGAGGUGGGGCUGUGCUGGCUCUGAGGUGUCCCUGUGCCCUGGAGGUGGGGCUGUGCUGGCUCUGAGGUGUCCCUGUCCCCAGGAGGUGGGGCUGUGCUGGCUCUGAGAUGUCCCUGUCCCCUGGAGGUGGGGCUGUGCUGGCUCUGAGGUGUCCCU